rnacentral:rRNA from 1 species
GACGAACGCUGGCGGCGUGCUUAACACAUGCAAGUCGAACGGAAAGGCCCUGCUUUUGUGGGGUGCUCGAGUGGCGAACGGGUGAGUAACACGUGAGUAACCUGCCCUUGACUUUGGGAUAACUUCAGGAAACUGGGGCUAAUACCGGAUAGGAGCUCCUGCUGCAUGGUGGGGGUUGGAAAGUUUCGGCGGUUGGGGAUGGACUCGCGGCUUAUCAGCUUGUUGGUGGGGUAGUGGCUUACCAAGGCUUUGACGGGUAGCCGGCCUGAGAGGGUGACCGGCAACAUUGGGACUGAGAGACGGCCCAGACUCCAACGGGGGGCAGCAGUGGGGAAUAUGGCACAAAGGGCGGAAGCCUGAUGCAGCAACGCCGCGUGCGGGAUGACGGCCUUCGGGUUGUAAACCGCUUUCGCCGGUGACGAAGCGUGAGUGACGGUAAUGGGUAAAGAAGCACCGGCUAACUACGUG